rnacentral:snoRNA from 1 species
AUCGUUGAUGAUGAUGAGUUGGUAAUCUAUAUUCUGCAAGGUCUUGAUAUUGAUUACAACCCACUUGUCUCAUCUAUCCUUGGACGCACUGAUCCGAUUCCCUUGGAUGAACUGUAUUCUCAACUUUUGCCAUAUGAUA